AACGAACGCUGGCGGCAGGCCUAACACAUGCAAGUCGAACGCCCUCUUUUAGAGGGAGUGGCAGACGGGUGAGUAACGCGUGGGAACCUACCUAGUGGUACGGAACAACACAGAGAAAUUUGUGCUAAUACCGUAUAAGCCCCUUCGGGGGGAAAGAUUUAUCGCCAUUGGAUGGGCCCGCGUUUGAUUAGCUAGUUGGUGAGGUAAUGGCUCACCAAGGCGACGAUCAAUAGCUGGUCUGAGAGGAUGAUCAGCCACACUGGGACUGAGACACGGCCCAGACUCCUACGGGAGGCAGCAGUGGGGAAUAUUGGACAAUGGGCGCAAGCCUGAUCCAGCCAUGCCGCGUGAGUGAUGAAGGCCCUAGGGUUGUAAAGCUCUUUCAACGGUGAAGAUAAUGACGGUAACCGUAGAAGAAGCCCCGGCUAACUUCGUG
rnacentral:rRNA from 1 species